GAAAUGGGAGAGAAUUGAUUGUCUUAGAGAAUUUUUGCAAAAAGAAUGGGUAACUUGUGGGGGUAACAGCUUGCACAAAUCAAAGAUUCUGUGUCUGCUGCAAGCAAGAUUUGAGCAGAUGCCUAAGGACAGAAGGAAGGCCGACAUGAAAAAGCAGCAACAUGUGGGGAACAGCUUGGCUGGAUGCUACACGGGGAGCCUCCCGAAGCUCCUCCCAUUCUUCCCCUCCAGCCUUCCUUGGGGACAGUGUACGGUGGUGGCUGCCAGCCCAGGCCCUGGAUCCGACAGUUCUGGCUUCACUUCUGGCUCAGCCAUUCACCAUCCAUGCUACUUACCUUGGGCCUCACUCGGAAUGGGAAUAAACACACUUAGCUCAUAGGA